rnacentral:rRNA from 1 species
GAAACGACUGCUAAGACUGGAUAGUAGACAAGAAGGCAUCUUCUUGUUUUUAAAAGACCUAUUAAUAGGUAUGCUUAGGGAGGAGCUUGCGUCACAUUAGUUAGUUGGUGGGGUAAAGGCCUACCAAGACUAUGAUGUGUAGCCGGGCUGAGAGGUUGAACGGCCACAUUGGGACUGAGACACGGCCCAAACUCCUACGGGAGGCAGCAGUAGGGAAUUUUCGGCAAUGGAGGAAACUCUGACCGAGCAACGCCGCGUGAACGAUGAAGUAUUUCGGUACGUAAAGUUCUUUUAUUAGGGAAGAAUAAAUGAUGGAAAAAUCAUUCUGACGGUACCUAAUGAAUAAGCCCCGGCUAACUAUGUGCCAGCAGCCGCGGUAAUACAUAGGGGGCAAGCGUUAUCCGGAAUUAUUGGGCGUAAAGGGUGCGUAGGCUGUUAAAUAAGUUUAUGGUCUAAGUGCAAUGCUCAACAUUGUGAUGCUAUAAAAACUGUUUAGCUAGAGUAAGAUAGAGGCAAGUGGAAUUCCAUGUGUAGUGGUAAAAUGCGUAAAUAUAUGGAGGAACACCAGUAGCGAAGGCGGCUUGCUGGGUCUUUACUGACGCUGAGGCACGAAAGCGUGGGGAGCAAACAGGAUUAGAUACCCUGGUAGUCCACGCCGUAAACGAUGAGUACUAAACGUUGGGUAAAACCAGUGUUGAAGUUAACACAUUAAGUACUCCGCCUGAGUAGUACGUACGCAAGUAUGAAACUUAAAGGAAUUGACGGGACUCCGCACAAGCGGUGGAUCAUGUUGUUUAAUUCGAAGGUACCCGAAAAACCUCACCAGGUCUUGACAUGCUUCUGCAAAGCUGUAGAAACACAGUGGAGGUUAUCAGUUGCACAGGUGGUGCAUGGUUGUCGUCAGCUCGUGUCGUGAGAUGUUGGGUUAAGUCCCGCAACGAGCGCAACCCUUAUUGUUAGUUGCCAGCACGUAAUGGUGGGGACUUUAGCAAGACUGCCAGUGAUAAAUUGGAGGAAGGUGGGGACGACGUCAAAUCAUCAUGCCCCUUAUGACCUGGGCUACAAACGUGAUACAAUGGCUGUUACAAAGGGUAGCUGAAACGCAAGUUUUUGGCGAAUCUCAAAAAAACAGUCUCAGUUCGGAUUGAAGUCUGCAACUCGACUUCAUGAAGUUGGAAUCGCUAGUAAUCGCGAAUCAGCAUGUCGCGGUGAAUACGUUCUCGGGGUUUGUACACACCGCCCGUCA